UGUUAAAAAUAAAUAAUUCCUUAAUGUUGAUGAAAAAGUACUAGUUCCAUUGGCAUAUUACUUCACUAAAAAUUUGGAAAUACCUUUUUAUAAGUAAAAUAAUCAAUGGUAAAAGUACUUUUUCAUCAAUAUGAAGGAUUUUUGACUUAAAACAAGUUCAUAUUCCCUGCUGAAAAGUUGUUUGUCAGUUAAUUUUGUUGUAUUUUAAAGUUUGCAAUAGAAACUAUAGACCAAAACUUUUUGGUAAGACUUGUGUUUUUGCAGUGUUUUAUGGAAUGCAUCCUCUCCUUCUUUACCUUUAAGAAGAUAAUUUCUGGAAUUUAGAGCAUGAAGAGAUUUUAAAGAUGAAAACAGGGGGGAUUAAAGAGUGAAAACUACAGUUUCUGCAGAGUUAAAGUGGUCCACUGAAAGCACGUGUGAGCCCACUACACCACGAGCCCUGCCAGUGCCCACAGCGGCCACAAGGCAAGACAUAAAGAAGACUGGCCCCGCUGUUUGCAUUCCUGGUGUUGGACAUUUCAAGGCAGCACUGACAGAUGUGUGUAAAAAUACACACGGCAUAAGUACGGACCGCACAGCUGGAAAAUGUCAGGCGGUUUAAAGCUGAUGCCGCUGUUUACUACUCCGACUUGAAGUGCAUUAUCUCUGCUUGCUUUUUCUGCCCGAGGCGAGCUGAGGGAAGACGACGACGGCUGGACGGGGUCAGGCGUUGUGGAAGAGGCCCCCAGGCUGGGGAAGCUGAUCAAAACAAGCUACCUCAAACAUCACACACCUGUUAAAUCCAUCAUUCACAACAUCAUCAGUGUGUUUCAGUGUCUGAAGACGUUGUGCUACGUACCGUACUUAUCCAGGAAGAGGAAGAAGAAAGUGUCGGUAAUGGUGAUGAGCACACCGGCCCAGAGGGGGAUCCUGUCAUCAAAACACACACAGCAACUGAAGAAGCUCAAUUUUUAUGUUUUAGUACCAAACGACCUGUGAUUCUGGAUACCAAACGCCCUCAAAACGGCAUCAACUUCUCGCCAGAGACUCCCUUUGGAAGCCCAUAGACAAUGCUACAAAAUAUCGCCCUCUGGUGGCCCCCACUUUGAUAAACACUGCCACACCUGUCAGAGGACAGGAGGUUGAACGCGAUGGCGCAGCCGAUGACCUCCUGCAUGUCGGAGCCGAUGAUCGCCAGCUCCACCAUCAACCACAGCAGGAUUCUGGGUACCUUCAUGGAAAACAUGGAGAAGUCAUGGGGUACUGGCGGUUGCAGACUUCAGCCAGGUGCAGCCCGGUGACGACGCCGAGCCGCGCCGCCAGCCGCUGCAGCAGCAGGCCGAUGAUGGUGGCCAGCAG